rnacentral:rRNA from 1 species
AACGGAGGGGACAAGCGUUAUUCAUCCUUAUUGGGCGUAAAGGGUAUGUAGGUGAUAAAAAAGAUUUAAUCGAAAAUUUCAAAUUUAUCUUUUGAAAGUGGUUAAAUGGUAAUCGAUUAAGAGAUUUCUUAAGGUUGGCGGGAUUACUAAAGUAGAGGUAAAAUAUUACGAUCUUAGUACGAACACCAAAAGCGAAAGCAGCUUUCUUAUGAAUCUAACACUGAGAUACGAAAGCAUGGGGAUCAAACAGG